rnacentral:rRNA from 1 species
UACGUAGGGGGCAAGCGUUGUCCGGAAUCAUUGGGCGUAAAGAGCGUGUAGGCGGCCUGAUAAGUCGGCUGUGAAAGUCCAGGGCUCAACCCUGGGAUGCCGGUCGAUACUGCCGGACUAGAGUUCGGAAGAGGCGAGUGGAAUUCCCGGUGUAGCGGUGAAAUGCGCAGAUAUCGGGAGGAACACCAAUGGCGAAGGCAGCUCGCUGGGACGUUACUGACGCUGAGACGCGAAAGCGUGGGGAGCAAACAGG